UGAUUUGCUCAUAGAGCGUGAGCAACUAAAUAUAAAUAAAGCUCAAUUGACG
rnacentral:ncRNA from 1 species